ACGGGAUUUGUAUGGUGCUUGCACCAUGUAAUGAGAGUAGCGCACUGGUGAGUAACACGUGGGAACAUACCUUGAAGUGGGGGACAACAGUUGGAAACGACUGCUAAUACCGCAUAAUCCCUGAGGGGGAAAGAUUUAUCGCUUUAAGAUUGGCCCGCGGAAGAUUAGGUAGUUGGUGGGGUAAAGGCCUACCAAGCCGACGAUCUAUAGCUGGUCUGAGAGGACGAACAGCCACAUUGGAACUGAGACACGGUCCAGACUCCUACGGGAGGCAGCAGUGAGGAAUAUUGGGCAAUGGAGGAAACUCUGACCCAGCCAUGCCGCGUGAGUGAAGAAGGUUUUCGAAUUGUAAAGCUCUUUCGGAUGGGACGAUGAUGACGGUACCAUCUAAAGAAGCCCCGGCAAACUUCGUGCCAGCAGCCGCGGUAAUACGAAGGGGGCAAGCGUUGUUCGGAAUUACUGGGCGUAAAGGGUGUGUAGGCGGAUUUGUAAGAUAGUGGUGAAAUACCUGAGCUCAACUUAGGAAUUGCCAUUAUAACUAUAGAUCUGGAGUGACAGAGAGGAUAUUGGAAUACCCAGUGUAGAGGUGAAAUUCGUAGAUAUUGGGUAGAACACCAGUGGCGAAGGCGAGUAUCUGGCUGUCAACUGACGCUGAGGCACGAAAGCAUGGUGAUCAAACAGGAUUAGAUACCCUGGUAGUCCAUGCUGUAAACGAUGAAUGCUAGUUGUCGGCAAAAGCCGGUGACGCAGUUAACGCGAUAAGCAUUCCGCCUGGGGAGUACGGUCGCAAGAUUAAAACUCAAAGGAAUUGACGGGG
rnacentral:rRNA from 1 species